GCUGGGUGUUGUGGCAGGCGCCUGUAGUCCCAGCUACUCGGGAGGCUGAGGCAAGAGAAUCACUUAAGCCCAGAAGUUGGAGUUUGCUGUGACCUGUGUGAUGCCACGACACUACCAAGGCCAAUAAAGUGAGACUCUAUUUCUUUUUUUUUUUUUUGAGACAGAGCCUCAAGCUGUCCCCCUGGGUAGAGUGCUAUGGCAUUACAGCUCACAGCAACCUCCAACUCCUGGGCUCAAGCGAGUCUCCUGCC
rnacentral:sRNA from 1 species